CGGGUCAGUAGCAAUACUGAUGCCGGCGAGUGGCGGACGGGUGAGGAAUACAUCGGAAUCUACCUUGUCGUGGGGGAUAACGUAGGGAAACUUACGCUAAUACCGCAUACGAACUACGGUUGAAAGCGGCGGACUCGCAAGAGCGUCGCGCGAUUGGAUGAGCCGAUGUCCGAUUAGCUAGUUGGCGGGGUAAAGGCCCACCAAGGCGACGAUCGGUAGCUGGUCUGAGAGGAUGAUCAGCCACACUGGAACUGAGACACGGUCCAGACUCCUACGGGAGGCAGCAGUGGGGAAUAUUGGACAAUGGGCGCAAGCCUGAUCCAGCCAUGCCGCGUGUGUGAAGAAGGCCUUCGGG
rnacentral:rRNA from 1 species